GCGGAUGUGGUGGAAUUGGUAGUCACGCCAGACUUAGGAUCUGGUGCCGCGAGGCGUGAAGGUUCGAGUCCUUUCAUCCGCACAA
rnacentral:tRNA from 1 species